rnacentral:lncRNA from 1 species
UAUAUAUAUAUUUUUUUUUUUUUUUUUACAUUAGAAACAUUUUGAAAGACUUGAAAGACAAAAUCGAUAUAUUAAGUUGCAAAUAUAUCUUAAAAAAAUUGAAACAAAAAAAAGUAGAAGAACAGGAACUGAUGUUUAAAUGCUAUAAUGCUAUAAAAAUUCAAAAAACGUAACAUAUAUAAAAAAAAUAAAAAAGUCAACAGAGAAGGGUUGCGUAGUAUGUGUGUGUGUGUAAUGUUGUACAAUAAUUAUAAACAUUAUAGAUCCAUGUUAUACAUACACAUAUAAAUAAGUUUAUGUUAAUUUUUUUUUUUUUUUUUGGUAUUUUUCGUUAUAACUCAAACAGUUUUCGUGGAUACUAUUCAAGGAAAUAUGUCCACGAUUUUUAUAAGAGGAAAAAGGAAAUUAUCGAAUUAGAUAAUUACGUGAAAAUGCAACAAAGCGAGUUUUCAAAAGAAAUAGAGAAAAGAAAAAAGCAGCAAAUGUUGUAUGAUCAAGAGUUAAGGGAGCAAAAAAUUUAUAACGUAGCUAAGAAUUUGCACCACGUGGUAUCAACAAAAGCACAAAAAGGAGUUUAUAAUCCAAAAAUUGAAAAUAUAAUAAAAAAACAGCAAGAAAAGCAUAAAAUUAAAAAAAAAAAAGUAAUCAUGCCUGUAAGUAAAUGAAUGCAAGAAAAAAAAGGAAACGGAAAAAAAAAAAAAAAGACAACGAAAAAAAAAAACAAAAAAAAGUGCGAGAUAAAAUUAAAAAAGCAAAAAAAGAAAUAAAAUUAAAGUUAUCAAUGUUUCA